UUACACAGGUGGGGUGGUAGAGAAUACCGAGGGGCGCGAGAUAACUCUCUCUAAGGAACUCGGCAAAAUGGCCCCGUAACUUCGGGAGAAGGGGUGCCACCGCAAGGUGGUCGCAGUGAAGAGGCCCAGGCGACUGUUUACCAAAAACACAGGUCUCCGCUAAGUCGCAAGACGAUGUAUGGGGGCCGACGCCUGCCCAGUGCCGGAAGGUUAAGGAAGCUGGUCAGCGUAAGCGAAGCUAGCGACUGAAGCCCCGGUGAACGGCGGCCGUAACUAUAACGGUCCUAAGGUAGCGAAAUUCCUUGUCGGGUAAGUUCCGACCCGCACGAAAGGCGUAACGAUCUGGGCGCUGUCUCGGAGAGAGGCUCGGCGAAAUAGAAUUGUCUGUGAAGAUGCGGACUACGUGCACCCGGACAGAAAGACCCUAUGAAGCUUUACUGUAGCUUGGUAUUGUGCUCGGGCUCGGAAUGCGCAGGAUAGGUGGGAGGCUAUGAACCAUUGCUUGUGGGUGAUGGUGAGCCACUGGUGAGAUACCACUCUUUCCGAGCUAGAGUUCUAACAGCCACCCGUUAUCCGGGGGCUGGACAGUAUCAGGUGGGCAGUUUGACUGGGGCGGUCGCCUCCUAAAAGGUAACGGAGGCGCGCAAAGGUUUGCUCAGGCUGGUUGGAAAUCAGCCGACGAGUGUAAAAGCAGAAGCAAGCUUGACUGUGAGACCUACAAGUCGAACAGGGAGGAAACUCGGCUUUAGUGAUCCGAUGGUUCUGCGUGGAAGGGCCGUCGCUCAACGGAUAAAAGUUACUCUAGGAUAACAGGCUGAUCUCCCCCAAGAGUUCACUUCGACGGGGAGGUUUGGCACCUCGAUGUCGGCUCAUCGCAACCUGGGGCUGAAGUCGGUCCCAAGGGUUGGGCUGUUCGCCCAUUAAAGCGGUACGCGAGCUGGGUUCAGAACGUCGUGAGACAGUUCGGUCCAUAUCCGGUGCAUGCGCAGGAAUAUUGAGAGGAUUUCUCCCUAGUACGAGAGGACCGGGAGGAACGCACCUCUGGUGUACCAGUUAUCGUGCCAACGGUAAACGCUGGGUAGCCAUGUGCGGAGAGGAUAACCGCUGAAAGCAUCUAAGUGGGAAGCCCACCUCAAGAUGAGUAUUCCCAUGGGGUAACCCAUUAAGGUCACGGGAAGAACACCCGUUGAUAGGCUCUACGUGGAAGCGCAGUAAUGUGUGAAGCGGAGGAGUACUAAUAGACCGAGGGCUUGACC
rnacentral:rRNA from 1 species